GGUUAGCUUUGAAUGCACCAAGGUAUGCAUGGGUGGAAGCUUUGAGGGGUGAUAUGGGGUGGAGUACCUUUAGGGAAAGAUUUAGGAAGGCUACCCUUAGAUACAAAGUCAGAUUGGAACGAAUGGAUGACGGAAGACUGGCACGGAAGGUUUACUUGUGGAGUGUGCAUGAGAGCAAAUGGAUUAAGAACUGCAUGAGAAUGGUUGGUGACAGUGGUAUAUGCGAGUCAGGUGGGUGAGCAGAGAGGAAGGGAGGCGUUUCUUUGAGUGGAAGGUGACUGACAGGAACAGAUUGGAUGAUUUGUAAUGGAUACUGCUUGUUGUAUUUUUAUUUCUACAGGUUGUGCCGAUGUGAAGGCCUUGACUCUCCAACGGGCCACCUGUUACAGCAAGACCAAGAGUAAGUUGUAAACACGAGGGAGGUGCAGGAUAAAACACCUAAGAAGAACCAAGAACCGCGCUUCCAUCAUCCCUCGCCCUCCCAGCCCUCUGAAACACCACCGGGGAGGAAGACCACAGGCAGGAUGGGCCGGAGCUCCAAGGACAAGCGUGAUAUCUACUACCGGCUGGCCAAGGAGGAGGGGUGGCGGGCCCGCAGCGCCUUCAAGCUCAUCCAGAUCAACGAGGAGUUCAAGAUAUUCGACGGUGUGACCCGUGUUGUGGACCUGUGUGCAGCCCCAGGCAGCUGGAGCCAAGUCUUGUCCCGCACACUGAGGAGUGGCGUGCCAGACCCUUCGUCAGUGAAGAUCGUUGCGGUGGAUCUGCAGGCAAUGGCACCACUGCCAGGUGUGACGCAGCUGCAGGGGGACAUCACCAAGGCCAGCACUGCUGAGGCAAUCAUCAGCCACUUUCAGGGUGACAAGGCCCAGCUUGUGGUGUGUGAUGGUGCCCCUGAUGUGACAGGCCUGCAUGACCUUGAUGAGUAUGUGCAGGCCCAGCUGCUGCUUGCUGCCCUCAACAUCACCACUCAUGUCCUAGCGGCGGGCGGCACCUUUGUUGCCAAGAUCUUCCGUGGCAAAGAUGUCACCCUCCUCUACGCCCAGCUCAAAAUAUUCUUCACUCAGGUCAGCGUCACCAAGCCAAGGUCAUCACGCAACUCAAGCAUUGAGUCAUUUGUGGUGUGCCAGAAUUACUCUCCACCUGAAGGCUACGUCCCCACAAUGGUCAAUCCUCUACUUGACCUGAGCUACGACGGGUCAUGGCAAGACCUUGAGGGGCCCAACCGUGUCAUUGUGCCCUUCCUGGCAUGUGGAGACCUGUCAGCUUACGACUCUGACAUGACCUACCCGCUGCAAAUGGAGGAUGGCAAGAGUUACCAGUAUUUGCCCCCCACUCAGCCUCCCAUCAGCCCAGCAUACACAGCAGCUGUGGCCAUGAAGCGCAGCAGUCAGCAGGCCCCAGGGGAACCUUUCACCACUGCCCCUGCUACUACUACAGGGAAGAGUGAGAGUGAGCCACCAGGGGAAGGGCAAGAGAACCAAUCAUCUGAGGAGGAAGAAGACCCAAACGCAAAUCUAACCGAGAGGGAAUUAAUGGAGCUACAGAUGGCUCAUGCAGAGAGUCUAUGCCUUGAUCAAUAUGGUGAAAUCAUGUAAUUGGCUGAAAGAGUUAUUGAAGUGUUUUAUCUUGCAUUAACGCAUGAGUACACUAUUCUUUUUUCUACUGAAACAAAGGGGGUUUGUCAUAAAUAUGGUCACUUGUCUCGCCUCAGAAUGAGGCACUGCUGACACGAACACAGGCUGUGGAAAUCAGUUGCUUGAGGGCAUGUGGCUUGGCAGAGAGGACAUUUUCUGUGUCUUCACCUCCACCCAUAUUAUUUUUCUGAAUGAUUUCAGUUUUGUGAUCUACUUUUUCUUUUGUCAGAGAAAGAUGACAUCAGUGACUCACUUUUCCUUUUUAUAUUAACAUUUGUAAUUUUCACGUGAAUCUGGAUGUCGUCAGCACAGAAGUGAUUAGUGACAUUGUGCCUGAAACGGAAGAUAAACAGCUGAUUGAUGGAAGUUGCAAACAGUUUUGAUCCCAAAACUGAUCCCUGAGGGACACUGAAUAGCAGGGUUGCUCUGUCUGAGAUGACCUCAUUCACCAUAACUUGCUGGGACCCACCUUACAAAUGUGACUUAUGGAACACAAGAGCAUUGUUGAACACGCCACUAUUUUAAAGAGGACUCGGUAGCCGCUCAUGAUCGACUGUACCAAAGGCUGCAGAGAGACCAAACCCAAUGUACAUCUUGAGUAACACUGUUAUGAAAUAAGGCUCAAGGGUCAAAGACAUGUGCACCAGAAACAAGUUGCUGGAAGAAAACUUGCAGGUUUGCAGGAUGGGACGGUGAGAGCAACGGAGGUUUUGAGGCAGAGUGUGAAAGUGAAAAGGAGAUAACGUCAGUCAACCGAUCCUGAGUAAUGAACGGAACUUCAUCAAGCAAAAACUGCAUAAAGUACAUGGACAAGGUCUUAAAAGGUCUUACUAAGUCAAAAAUACCUCGAAGAGUCUCCGGAGGAAAACCGUGAGCAUCUGGUUUUAAACUAAACAAAUUUGUGUGUCCCUCAAAUAUAUUUUAAGUCAUCAAGAUAUUGUAAAGAUGCCAUGGCUAACUCAAUGUGGUGUGAAGUUGCUACCAUGUUAAUAAAUGAAUAAGUAGCAUGCUGUGUGACAGAACAAUGUUAUUACAUUUAACCCAACAGGUCAGUUACUUCACUUAUAAACUAAUUUAAUUUUGGGGCAGAUAAAUCUUGAAUUUAAACAUUAUCAGAAAACAAACAUCAAAGUUGUCAAUCAAUUUACCAGUCAACCUCAAGUCUCUUAUGUCCACUAAUUACAGUCAGUGUAAAGGCAAUUUAGAUUCUUAAGUUAUCACUAAGCAACUGAAUAUUCUUAAUCGAGUUGAUAAAUAUCUUCCAUUCUACCCAGCAGAAAUCUCGACUCCUGAAGUUUGACUAACAGCUGGAUGGUCCCAUCAGUGUGUGCAAGGCAUCUCAUCAACCAGGCAAAUUCAAGUGGAUUGCUGGAGGGUUGAGACACCUGGAAGCCCAGAUCACACCAUGCCACGCCACACCUGGAAGAAGCAAAAGUUACACCAAAAUGAAGAGUAUUCCAUGGCCUUUGCAAUCUACUAAAGCAAUAUUCUUUUACUUUCUUUCAUUGUUGCAAGUUAUUUUGUAAUGCAUUCUGUUCUUUUUACCAAGUGUAAAGGUGUUCAAUAAAUAUCCUGGAAGGGAGA